UACGUAGGGUCCGAGCGUUGUCCGGAAUUACUGGGCGUAAAGAGCUCGUAGGUGGUUUGUCGCGUUGUUCGUGAAAACUCACAGCUUAACUGUGGGCGUGCGGGCGAUACGGGCAGACUAGAGUACUGCAGGGGAGACUGGAAUUCCUGGUGAUAGCGGUGGAAUGCGCAGAUAUCAGGAGGAACACCGGUGGCGAAGGCGGGUCUCUGGGCCGGCACUGACGCUGAGGAGCGAAAGCGUGGGGAGCAAACAGG
rnacentral:rRNA from 1 species